UACGUAGGUGGCAAGCGUUGUCCGGAUUUACUGGGCGUAAAGAGCGCGCAGGCGGUCGUUCAAGUCGCGUGUGAAAGCCCCCGGCUCAACUGGGGAGGGUCACGCGAUACUGAUCGACUCGAAGGCAGGAGAGGGUAGUGGAAUUCCCGGUGUAGUGGUGAAAUGCGUAGAUAUCGGGAGGAACACCAGUGGCGAAGGCGGUUGCCUGGAGCUUUGCUGACGCUGAGGCGCGAAAGCGUGGGGAGCGAUCCGG
rnacentral:rRNA from 1 species